rnacentral:tRNA from 1 species
GCGGGCGUAGUUCAAUGGUAGAACGGCAGCUUCCCAAGCUGCACACACGGGUUCGAUUCCCGUCGCCCGCUCCA